rnacentral:rRNA from 1 species
GACGAACGCUGGCGGCGUGCCUAAUACAUGCAAGUAGAACGCUGAAGGAGGAGCUUGCUUCUCUGGAUGAUUUGCGAACGGGUGAGUAACGCGUAGGUAACCUGCCUGGUAGCGGGGGAUAACUAUUGGAAACGAUAGCUAAUACCGCAUAAGAGUAGAUGUUGCAUGACAUUUGCUUAAAAGGUGCAAUUGCAUCACUACCAGAUGGACCUGCGUUGUAAUAGGUAGUUGGUGGGGUAACGGCUCACCAAGGCGACGAUACAUAGCCGAACUGAGAGGGGGGUCGGCCAAAACGGGAAUGGGACCACGCCCAGGACUCUAAGGGAGGCAGCAGUAGGGAAUCUUUGGCAAAUGGCGGAAGUCUGACCGAGCAACGCCGCGGGAGUGAAGAAGGUUUUCGGAUCGUAAAGCUCUGUUGUAAGAGGAGAACGAGUGUGAGAGUGGAAAGUUCACACUGUGACGGUACCUAAUCAGAAAGGGACGGCUAACUACGUG